UGGGGGAAAGGCCUCCAAGGCGACGACGGGUAGCCGGCCUGAGAGGGCGACCGGCCACACUGGGACUGAAACACGGCCCAGACUCCUACGGGAGGCAGCAGUGGGGAAUAUUGCACAAUGGGCGCAAGCCUGAUGCAGCGACGCCGCGUGAGGGAUGACGGCCUUCGGGUUGUAAACCUCUUUCAGCAGGGAAGAAGCGAAAGUGACGGUACCUGCAGAAGAAGCGCCGGCUAACUACGUGCCAGCAGCCGCGGUAAUACGUAGGGCGCAAGCGUUGUCCGGAAUUAUUGGGCGUAAAGAGCUCGUAGGCGGUUUGUCGCGUCUGCUGUGAAAACUCGAGGCUCAACCUCGGGCCUGCAGUGGGUACGGGCAGACUAGAGUGCGGUAGGGGAGACUGGAAUUCCUGGUGUAGCGGUGGAAUGCGCAGAUAUCAGGAGGAACACCGAUGGCGAAGGCAGGUCUCUGGGCCGCAACUGACGCUGAGGAGCGAAAGCAUGGGGAGCGAACAGGAUUAGAUACCCUGGUAGUCCAUGCCGUAAACGUUGGGCACUAGGUGUGGGGCUCAUUCCACGAGUUCCGUGCCGCAGCAAACGCAUUAAGUGCCCCGCCUGGGGAGUACGGCCGCAAGGCUAAAACUCAAAGAAAUUGACGGGGGCCCGCACAAGCGGCGGAGCAUGCGGAUUAAUUCGAUGCAACGCGAAGAACCUUACCAAGGCUUGACAUACACCGGAAACUUCCAGAGAUGGUUGCCCCGCAAGGUCGGUGUACAGGUGGUGCAUGGUUGUCGUCAGCUCGUGUCGUGAGAUGUUGGGUUAAGUCCCGCAACGAGCGCAACCCUCGUCCUAUGUUGCCAGCGGGUUAUGCCGGGGACUCAUAGGAGACUGCCGGGGUCAACUCGGAGGAAGGUGGGGAUGACGUCAAAUCAUCAUGCCCCUUAUGUCUUGGGCUUCACGCAUGCUACAAUGGCCGGUACAAAGGGCUGCGAUACCGCAAGGUGGAGCGAAUCCCAAAAAGCCGGUCUCAGUUCGGAUUGGGGUCUGCAACUCGACCCCAUGAAGUCGGAGUCGCUAGUAAUCGCAGAUCAAGGCCACCGCCUGUCA
rnacentral:rRNA from 1 species